rnacentral:lncRNA from 1 species
CCGGAAGUGUCCCAUCGCCAUCGGGCUCAGUGCCAGGAGCUGCAGCUCCUUUCAGACCACUGUUUAACGACUUUGGACCGCCGUCCAUGGGGUAUGUACAGGUGAGUGUGGCUAAGAGCUUGCUUAUGGAUAAGGACAGGAGAUGCCCUCGGGGUCUGAGGUCACAACUGUAUUUUCUUUUGACACAGGCAAUGAAGCCACCCGGUUCCCAGGGCUCUCAGAGCACCUACACGGACCUGCUGUCUGUCAUAGAGGAGAUGGGCAAAGAGAUCCGACCCACCUAUGCUGGUAGCAAGAGUGCCAUGGAGCGCCUGAAGAGAGGUAUCAUCCAUGCUCGGGCACUAGUCAGAGAGUGCUUGGCAGAGACAGAACGCAAUGCCCGCACGUAACAGGAAGCACCUUGACCUCUCCGUCGGGACCUUUCCGGCCACUGCAGAGCACCUGCUUCUCCCUGGCCUUUGCCCCAAGUUGCUUCCUAUCCUGGGCUUCCUGUCCUGUGUUCCUUGGUGGGCACCUUUCAGGAACCAGGUAGCAGAUCUUCAUCCAGUUGGCUGUACAGACUGGUCUCUCCCUCUGCAGGAGUGCUGAGAGGCCACCGUGAGUCCCAUCUGUGACCUGAUCACAGUGCUGAUCUAACUGGAGCUUCCUCUCUGUGGUCCCACCACAUGGCACUUACUCCUUAACUCUUAGUCCAGGCCGCCUCCUCCCUCUCCAACAGGGGUGCAGAAGGCCUCCCUGCCUCAUCUCUGGGGCCACAGCUGACUCUUUUUUUGGUGUGUCUUUUACUAAAUAUGCCCUUUUUAUAUAAAUAAAAGAUGAUUUGGAGCCAU